CGCGGUGUAGCUCAGCAGGUCAGAGCGUCCGGUUCAUACCCGGGAGGUCGAGGGUUCGAUUCCCCCUGCCGCGA
rnacentral:tRNA from 1 species